rnacentral:rRNA from 1 species
UACAGAGGGUGCAAGCGUUAAUCGGAAUUACUGGGCGUAAAGCGUGCGUAGACGGUUACAUAAGUCGGGUGUGAAAGCCCCGGGCUCAACCUGGGAAUUGCAUUCGAGACUGCGUAGCUAGGGUGCGGAAGAGGGAAGCGGAAUUUCCGGUGUAGCGGUGAAAUGCGUAGAUAUCGGAAGGAACACCAGUGGCGAAAGCGACUUCCUGGUCCAGCAUCGACGUUCAGGCACGAAAGCGUGGGGAGCAAACAGG